AGGAAGAAGUGCUUAAUGGUUGCUAUAAGUUGCAGUGCCGGCGAUUAGGAAACCUGUACCCCUGCUACAACACAAACAGGUCUUUUUAUCCCUCCAGAGAAGAUGAGAGCAACUUUGUUUAUUAGUCUCAUGUGCUCCUAUGCCCUGGUUUUGGCUAAAAAAGAGGAUGAGCUAGAGCUGGUAAGCUACAAUUCUAACCCAUGUCAGAGGACCUUUAACACUAUUGCCUACCAAGCUUUUCGAGACAAACACAUAAUUCAGAUGUCCUUUAACGCCUCAUCAAAGCCUGGUUGGAAAAAUUAUUUGCAGCAAAUGAGACUCUGUAACCGACCUAUACAGUCCUUUGUGGAGAUAAGCGAUGAAACCCGUAUUCUACAGAUCUGCAAUGGCUUUGGCUGGUGGCAGACAGGCAAUUUAUGCACAAGUAACACAUCAUUUUUGCUUUAUGGUUUAAGA